AGUGAACGCUGGCGGUAGGCCUAACACAUGCAAGUCGAACGGCAGCACAGUAAGAGCUUGCUCUUACGGGUGGCGAGUGGCGGACGGGUGAGGAAUACAUCGGAAUCUACUUUUUCGUGGGGGAUAACGUAGGGAAACUUACGCUAAUACCGCAUACGACCUACGGGUGAAAGCAGGGGAUCUUCGGACCUUGCGCGAUUGAAUGAGCCGAUGUCGGAUUAGCUAGUUGGCGGAGUAAAGGCCCACCAAGGCCACGAUCCGUAGCUGGUCUGAGAGGAUGAUCACCCACGCUGGAACUGAGACACGGUCCAGACUCCUACGGGAGGCAGCAGUGGGGAAUAUUGGACAAUGGGCGCAAGCCUGAUCCAGCCAUACCGCGUGGGUGAAGAAGGCCUUCGGGUUGUAAAGCCCUUUUGUUGGGAAAGAAAAGCAGCAGGUUAAUACCCCGCUGUUCUGACGGUACCCAAAGAAUAAGCACCGGCUAACUUCGUG
rnacentral:rRNA from 1 species